rnacentral:lncRNA from 1 species
GGAGGAGAGAAUUGAGUUCAUAGAGUUUGGGAGGACUUUAGCAAUCAUUGCUGAAAGUCAGUGUUUGUAUUGGUGAAUUGGAUUCAUAGGGUUUGGGAGGACUUUAGCAAUUGUUGCUAAAAGUUAGUAUUUGUAUUGGUGAAUUGGGUUCAUAGGGUUUGGGAGGACUUUUGUAAUCGUUGCUGAAAAUCUCUGUUUGUAUUGGUGAAUUGGAAUUUUUGCAAUAAAAUAACAGCUGGUAUUCUUGACUAUUUUGUGAAAUUUGAAAAACUUUUGUAGUUGAAAUUUAGAGGUGUCUAGAGGGUUGAGUAUGUUGAGUGCAUGCAAAAGUUUGUGUUAAU